GAUCUAUACCGGUGCAAUGGAAUUGGUGAUGAUGGACUCUAUGCUUUAUCAAGUGGUUGCAAAAGAAUGCAGAAGUUAAACUUUUCUUAUUGCAGUGAGGUUACUGAUAGAGGACUUGAGUGUCUCAGCCAUCUACCAGAGCUCUCUGACCUCGAGAUGCGGAGUCUUUUGAAUGUCACAGGCACUGGUUUAACAGCACUUGCUAUGGGGUGCAAGAAACUUGCUGAGCUGGAUGUGAAAGACUGUACUAGCAUUGAUG
rnacentral:misc_RNA from 1 species